AUCUGAAACUGCUGUUCUUGAGUGUCGGAGAGGAAAGUGGAAUUCCCAGUGUAGCGGUGAAAUGCGUAGAGAUUGGGAGGAACACCAGUGGUGAAGGCGGCUUUCUGGUCGACAACUGACGCUGAGGCGCGAAAGCGUGGGGAGCGAACAGGAUUAGAUACCCUGGUAGUCCACGCCGUAAACGAUGGAUACUAGGUGUAGGGGGUAUCGACCCCUUCUGUGCCGGAGUUAACACAAUAAGUAUCCCACCUGGGGAGUACGGCCGCAAGGUUGAAACUCAAAGGAAUUGACGGGGGUCCGCACAAGCAGUGGAGUAUGUGGUUUAAUUGGAAGCAACGCGAAGAACCUUACCAGGGCUUGACAUCCCCUGACCCCCUUGGAGACAAGGGUUCCCUUCGGGGCAGGGAGACAGCUGGUGCAUGGUUGUCGUCAGCUCGUGUCGUGAGAUGUUAGGUUAAGUCCCGCAACGAGCGCAACCCCUGUUGCCAGUUGCCAUCAUUAAGUUGGGCAUUCUGGCGAGCCUGCCGGUGACAAAUCGGAGGAAGGGGGGGACGACGUCAAAUCAUCAUGCCCUUUAUGUCGUGGGCCACACACGUACUACAAUGGCGGUUACAGAGGGGAAGCGAA
rnacentral:rRNA from 1 species